rnacentral:rRNA from 1 species
GAUGAACGCUGGCGGCGUGCCUAAUACAUGCAAGUCGAGCGAACGGACGAGAAGCUUGCUUCUCUGAUGUUAGCGGCGGACGGGUGAGUAACACGUGGAUAACCUACCUAUAAGACUGGGAUAACUUCGGGAAACCGGAGCUAAUACCGGAUAAAAUUUUGAACCGCAUGGUUCAAAAGUGAAAGACGGUCUUGCUGUCACUUAUAGAUGGAUCCGCGCUGCAUUAGCUGGUUGGUAAGGUAACGGCUUACCAAGGCAACGAUGCAUAGCCGACCUGAGAGGGUGAUCGGCCACACUGGAACUGAGACACGGUCCAGACUCCUACGGGAGGCAGCAGUAGGGAAUCUUCCGCAAUGGGCGAAAGCCUGACGGAGCAACGCCGCGUGAGUGAUGAAGGUCUUCGGAUCGUAAAACUCUGUUAUUAGGGAAGAACAUAUGUGUAAGUAACUGUGCACAUCUUGACGGUACCUAAUCAGAAAGCCACGGCUAACUACGUG